rnacentral:rRNA from 1 species
UACAGAGGGUGCAAGCGUUAAUCGGAAUUAUUGGGCGUAAAGGGCGCGUAGGCGGAGAUGUAAGUCAGAUGUGAAAUUCCAGAGCUCAACUUUGGAGCUGCAUUAGAAACUGCAUUUCUAGAGGAUAGGCGGGGAAAGCGGAAUUCCACGUGUAGCGGUGAAAUGCGUAGAUAUGUGGAAGAACACCGGUGGCGAAGGCGCUUUCUAGCUUAGACCUGACGCUGAGGCGCGAAAGCAAGGGGGAGCAAACAGG